rnacentral:lncRNA from 1 species
GUUUGUUUUUGUUGUAUUGUUUUUUUUUUUUUAGAGAUAGGGUCUCAUUCUGUCACCCAGGGUGGAGUGCAGUGGUGUGAUCACAGCUCACUGCAACCUCCAAUUCCUGGCCUCAAGUGAUCCUCCUGCCUUAGCCUCCUGAGUAGCUGGGAUGCAGGUGUGUGCUGCCACACCCAACUAAUUUUUUUUAAAUUUUAAUAUUUUCUUUUAGAGAUAGAGUCUGGCUGUUUCACUCACGCUCCAGUGCAGUGGCAGGAGCAUAGCUCGCUGCAACCUCAAAUUCCUAUGCUUAAGCAAUCCUCCUGCCUCAGCCUCUUGAGUUGUUGAGGCACCUGUCAUCACAACCAGCUGAUUUCUUUUUUUAUUAUUACAUUUUGUAGAGAUGGGGUCUUGCUUUGUUGCCCAGGCUGGUCCUGAACUACUGGUUUCAAGUGAUCCUCCCACCUCGGCCUCCCAAAGUGCUGGGAUUACAGGCUUGAGCCACCACACCCGGCCUUGUCUGUUUUUUAUAACCAAGCCACGGGUAACAAAAAGUCAGAAGAAAGUGUUGCCACCUCUGAUGGCAAAUCCCAAAAGGGGAGCUCAGAUUUGUUUUGAGUGAUGGUGGCAUGGAACUAGAGACCUAGAAGAAGAUUCAAGAUCACAGGCCACCCCUUCUAGUUUACAGAUAAAGAAACUGAGUCCCAGCUGGGCGUGGUGGCUCACACCUGUAAUCCCAGCACUUUGAGAGGCAGAGAUGGGCAGAUCACCUGAGGUCAGGAGUUUGAAACCAGACUGGCCAACAUGGUGAAACCCCAUCUCUACUUAAAAUACAAAAAUUAGCCGAGCAUGGUGGCUGGCACCUGUAAUCCCAGCUACUUGGGAGGCUGAGGCAGGAGAAUCGCUUGAAUCUGGGAGGCAGAGGUUGCAAUGGGCCAAGAUUGCGCCAUUGCACUCCAGCCUGGACAACAGCGAGACUCUAUCUCAAAAAAAAAAAAAAAAAAAAAAGAAAGAGAGAAAGAAGAAACUGAGUCCCAGAGAGGAGACUGGCAGACAUGAGAGCCCUGUGCCAUCCCCAACCCCACCAGCUGCCACUUCUCCCAGCCUCCAUUUAGUUAUUUAUUUGUUUGUUUGUUUGUUUAUUCAAUAAACUUUUUUUUUUUAGAUGGAGUCUUGCUCUGUCACCUAGGCUGGAGUGCAGUGCCUCGAUGUCUGCUGACUGCAACCUCCACCUCCCAGGGACUGUGGACAGAGCACUGAGCAAGAUAGGAAAAAACCAGCAUGCACUCUGGGUGAGUGUCAGCAGAGCCGGUCUCAGGGGGCAUGAGCCAUGCAAUUACACACUCGGUUUCAUGCUGUACGGUGGCCAUUUUGAAAUCCUUAAUAAUUUUUCAACAAGAGCCCUCAAGUUUCAUUUUGGAACGGGCCCUGCAAAUUAUGUAGCCGGUCCUGUGUGUCAGGCCAAACUAGCAGAUAAGGAAAUGAGGCACAGAGAGGGAAAUAAGUCCACCAAGGUUCACACAGGAUGCAAGCCACACAGCUGGGAUUGAAACCCAGGUUAGACUGGGUGCAGUGGCUCAUGCCUGUAAUCCCAGUACUUUGGGAGGCCAAGGUGGAUGGAUCAUCUAAAGUCAGGAGUUCAAGACCAGCCUGACCAACACGGUAAAACUCCAUCUCUACUAAAAAUACAAAAAUUAGCUGGGUGUGGUGUCUCACGCCUGUAAUCCCAGCAUUUUGGGAGGCCGAGGCGGGUGGAUCACGAGGUCAGGAGAUUGAGACCAUCCUGGCUAACACGGUGAAACCCCGUCUCUACUAAAAAUACAAAAAAUUAGCCGGGCGAGGUGGCAGGUGCCUGUAGUCCAAGCUCCAAGCUACUUGGGAGGCUGAGGCAGGAGAAUCGCUUGAACCUGGAAGGCAGAGGUUGCAGUAAGCCGAGAUCGUGCUGCUGCACUCCAGCCUGGGCAACAGAGUGAGACUCCAAAAAAAAAAGGAAAGAAAGAAAGAGAGAGAGAAAGAAAGAGAAAGAAAGAAGAGAUGAAAGAAAGAAAGAAAGAAAGAAAGAGAAAGAAAGAAGAGAUGAAAGAAAGAAAGAAAGAAAGAAAGAAAGAAAGAAAGAAAGAAAGAAAGAAAAGAGAAAGAAAGAAAAGAGAAAGAAAGAAAGAAAGAGGAGGGGAGGGGAGGGAGAGGG